rnacentral:sRNA from 1 species
GCGGCCGCAGUCUCCAGUGUGGUGAGAAGAGUGGAAGAGCUCGGGGAUCUGGCUCAGGCCCACAUACAGCAACUUAGCGAAGCUGCCGGUGAAGAUGAUCACUUUUUAAUUCGGGCCUCUGCAGCAUUAGAAAAAUUGAAACUCCUGUGUGGAGAAGAGAAAGAAUGUUCAAAUCCAUCAAAUCUUCUAGAACUUUACACACAGGCUAUUUUGGACAUGACAUAUUUUGAGGAGAACAAGCUAGUAGAUGAAGAUUUUCCUGAAGACUCUUCUUCACAGAAAGUAAAAGAGCUGAUCAGUUUUCUUUCAGAACCAGAAAUUUUAGUCAAGGAAAAUAAUAUGCAUCCAAAACACUGCAAUUUGCUUGGGGAUGAGCUACUGGAAUGUCUCUCUUGGAGACGAGGAGCCCUGCUGUAUAUGUAUUGUCAUUCUCUUACCAAAAGAAGAGAGUGGCUCUUAAGAAAAUCCAGUUUGCUUAAAAAGGUAAGAAGACAUUCCCUACACAUUUUUCAUUGUUGACAUUUAGAGGUUUCAGAAAGCUGUCUUUGUUUUACUACUAAGAGUAAACAUAGUUUGUAUUCUAUGUCUUUUAUUUACUAGCUGGGUAAUCAUAAAUAAGUUGGGC